rnacentral:rRNA from 1 species
CCCUUAGAUGUUCUGGGCCGCACGCGUGCUACACUGAGUGGAUCAGCGGGUCAGGUUGCGCGAAAGUGUUUCCUAAUCUUGAAAUCCGCUCGUGAAGGGGAUUGACGGUUGCAAUUUUCCGUCAUGAACGAGGAAUACCUUGUAAGCGCGGGUCAUCAUCCCGCGCUGAAUACGUCCCUGCCCUUUGUACACACCGCCCGUCGCUCCUACCGAUUGAGUGGUCCGGUGAGGCUUUGGGAUCUGAGCGGAAAGAGCGUUUCGCUGUUUCUGCUCGGAAAACUCAGUCGAACCUUAUCAUUUAGAGGAAGGAGAAGUCGUAACA